rnacentral:rRNA from 1 species
ACCAACUGCGAAGGCAGCUUUCUGGAUCAUUACUGACACUGAGGAACGAAAGCAUGGGUAGCGAAGAGGAUUAGAUACCCUCGUAGUCCAUGCCGUAAACGAUGUGUGUUAGACGUUGGAAAUUUAUUUUCAGUGUCGCAGGGAAACCGAUAAACACACCGCCUGGGGAGUACGACCGCAAGGUUAAAACUCAAAUGAAUUGACGGGGACCCGCACAAGUAGUGGAGCAUGUGGUUUAAUUCGAAGAUACGCGCAGAACCUUACCAACACUUGACAUGUUCGUCGCGACUCUAAGAGAUUAGAGUUUUCGGUUCGGCCGGACGAAACACAGGUGCUGCAUGGCUGUCGUCAGCUCGUGUCGUGAGAUGUUGGGUUAAGUCCCGCAACGAGCGCAACCCUCACUUUUAGUUGCCAUCAUUAAGUUGGGCACUCUGAAAGAACUGCCAGUGAUAAGCUGGAGGAAGGUGGGGAUGACGUCAAGUCCUCAUGGCCCUUACGUGUUGGGCUACACACGUGCUACAAUGGCAUCUACAACAGGAAGCAAAACGGCAACGUUAAGCAAAUCCCGAAAAGAUGCCUCAGUUCGGAUUGCACUCUGCAACUCGAGUGCAUGAAGCUGGAAUUACUAGUAAUCGUGGAUCAGCGUGCCACGGUGAAUGCGUUCCCGGGUCUUGUACACACCGCCCGUCACACCAUGGGAGUUGGUUCUACCUUAAGGCAAGGUUUUAAACCCUUGACCACGGUAUAGUCAGCGACUGGGGUGAAGUCGUAACAAGGUAGCCGUA